rnacentral:snoRNA from 2 species
GAUCAAUGAUGAAACCUAUCCCGAAGCUGACUACCUGAAGAAAAGCAUGUACGGGUUUGGCUUCUGAGAU